CCCAAAAUAUGGCCGAUAGUUUACCUAAAUACGGAACUAAAGUGUUAUUUCUGUGCGAGUUUGAUUGUUAAUUAAAACAAUAGUGAAUUUGUAUUGAUGACUUAAAGAGUGAAGUGCUGCGGAAUGUUUCCGCUAACGCCUCCCGUGGUAAAGCGGCUGCUGGGGUGGAAAAAGGGUCCCGAGGGAUCCUCAGUGGCCGAAGACAAAUGGUCGGAAAAAGCAGUAAAAAGUUUAGUGAAGAAAUUGAAGAAGAGCGGAGCCCUGGAGGAGCUAGAAAAGGCAAUUUCUAGCCAAAACAGUCAUACUAAAUGUGUAACAAUCCCCAGAGUGAAACCUAACGACAACGGAAUCAACGGGCAGUACCGCAAGGGGUUGCCGCAUGUCGUCUACUGCAGGCUGUGGCGCUGGCCGCAGCUACAGAGCCAGCAUGAAUUGAAGCCGGUGGACCACUGCGAGUACGCAUACCAAUUGAAGAAGGACGAGGUGUGCAUCAACCCUUACCACUACAACAAGAUCGACUCGCCUGCCCUGCCGCCGAUCUUGGUUCCCCGCUGCGGCGAGGGCGAAGUCCGAGCGCCUCCGCCCUACGACUACCACCAGCCUCAUCACGAAGUCGACACAGUGAUGCAGAGCAGCGUGGUCGGCGUGGGCGUGGUGGGCGUGGCGCCGCACUCCGCCAUGUACCUGGAGGCCACGCUGGCGCAGCACGUGCCCACAAACACCACCGUGCACGUGAGCUCGUCGACGGUGGAGACUCCGCCCCCGGGUUACAUGAGCGAGGACGGCGACCCCAUGGACCACAACGACAACAUGAACCUGACCCGGCUGAGCCCGUCCCCGGGCGGGCUGGUGUCGGAGGCGGCGCCGGUGCUGUACCACGAGCCGGCUUUCUGGUGCAGCAUCAGCUACUACGAACUGAACACGCGUGUCGGGGAGACCUUCCACGCCAGCCAGCCCUCCAUCACCGUAGACGGCUUCACCGACCCCAGCAACUCUGAAAGAUUCUGCCUGGGUCUCCUGUCGAACGUCAACCGUAACGAGGUGGUGGAACAGACGCGCCGGCACAUCGGGAAAGGUGUCAGACUUUACUACAUCGGCGGCGAGGUGUUCGCGGAGUGCCUGUCGGACUCGUCCAUCUUCGUGCAGAGCCCCAACUGCAACCAGCGCUACGGCUGGCACCCCGCCACCGUCUGCAAGAUACCGCCAGGUUGCAACCUGAAGAUCUUCAACAACCAAGAGUUUGCGGCCCUGCUGUCGCAGUCAGUGUCCCAGGGCUUUGAGGCUGUGUUCCAGCUGACCCGCAUGUGCACCAUCCGAAUGUCCUUCGUCAAGGGGUGGGGCGCCGAGUACAGGCGGCAGACGGUGACCUCGACCCCGUGCUGGAUCGAGCUGCACCUCAACGGGCCGCUGCAGUGGCUGGACCGCGUGCUCACGCAGAUGGGCUCGCCGCGCCUGCCGUGCUCCUCCAUGUCUUAGACAACACGAAUCGAGUCAAGAAUGCAUCACUCAAAAGUUUAUAAUAAGUACAGUGUGUGUUAGUGACAUCGUAACGAAAACUUGGGGGAUGAUUCUGAGUUGAUAUCAAGUGGAAUAUCUUGUCGGAAAUUUCAUGAAAAUUUUAUGCUUUAAGCUGCAUAGAAUCUAAAUUUAAAAUAAAAAAUGUAAAAAUUAUUGAUUGCCGUCAAUGUAAAUCGAACAACGCGAACAGUUCAGCGACUUUUCGCGUUGUUCGAUUUACAUUGCGGCGCAGUAUAUAUAAACUUAACGCUAACUUUAGUUUUUAGUACAAUGAAAAUGACGUUCUAUUUUUUUCGUUACGGUAUCAGUAACACCCUGUAUAAAUAUAAUAAUACAGUUUAAGAUUAUAUUAAGAGUAGCUCAAACCAAUGGAUUAUUUCUGUAUGAGUUUUGAAUAGUGGUUUUAUAACGAUACUGGCCCCGAUUCCUGCAGACACCGCCUAAUUUUAUUUUAAGUUAUAUCCGUCAUUUUCAUAUCCGUCGAAAAGGAAAGGGACGGAUGAUUCACAGCUCUUAAUUUUAGGAAGAAUGAGUAAAUGAAUGAAUAACGCGGGCGAAUCAAAAAGGUACGUCGCUGGUAUGCAAUCCGUUUGACGUGCUGUCUACUUAACUGUGUCGGGUUAUUGACGGAUGUAAAAUUUUUAGACGGUUGGUUUAGAUUUGUGCUUAAAAUUGACGUGUGUUCCAUAAAUUUUAUGCUUGUCGAUUACCCGUCCCUUUCCUUUUCGGCGGAUAAGAAAAUGACAGAUAUAACUUAAAAUAAAAUUAGAUGGUAUUUACACCGUACAAGCACCAUAAUCUUAUAAUUUUUAUAUAUUUCCUUACCUUAUGGUUGUCUGGAAGAAUUCGCUUUAAGCGAAAAUGCCGCCAUUUGCCAUAUACACCUAGUUAAGAGUCUGU
rnacentral:misc_RNA from 1 species